rnacentral:misc_RNA from 1 species
AGCAGCCGCGGUAAUUCCAGCUCCAAUAGCGUAUAUUAAAGUUGUUGCAGUUAAAAAGCUCGUAGUUGAAUUUCGGGAUCAAAGGAUCGGUCAUGCCUUGGUAUGUACUGGUUUUAUUGGUUCUCACCUUCUAAAGAACCAUAAUGUCAUUCAUUUGAUGUUAUGGGGAAUUAGGACUGUUACCUUGAAAAAUUAGAGUGUUUAAAGCAGGCUUACGCUUGAAUACAUUAGCAUGGAAUAAUGAAAUAGGACAUCAGAUUCUAUUUUGUUGGUUUCUAGGAUCGAUGUAAUGAUUAAUAGGGAUAGUUGGGGGCAUUAGUAUUCAAUUGUCAGAGGUGAAAUUCUUGGAUUUAUUGAAGACUAACUACUGCGAAAGCAUUUGCCAAGGAUGUUUUCAUUAAUCAAGAACGAAAGUUAGGGGAUCGAAGACGAUCAGAUACCGUCGUAGUCUUAACCAUAAACUAUGCCGACUAGGGAUCGGAUGAUGUUUAAUUUUAUAAUGACUCAUUCCGG